rnacentral:tRNA from 1 species
GCUGGCGUAGCUCAAUGGCAGAGCAACUGCCUUGUAAGCAGUAGGUUGUGGGUUCGAAUCCCUCCGCCAGCUCCA